CACUUCCUCUUCAUAUAAUGGAGCAUGCACUAAUAUGUGGGAUUCUUUUCAAUGUCCCUGACCUUACUUUUUUUUCCAUAUCUCCAUUAUCUGUGUACUUGAUCCUCAAAAUGGCACUAGAACCCGAACUUCAUAUGCCUGGAGUGCUGCCACGUGCUUGUCUCUCAUCGGCCGGCGCCUGCACCCACACAGACAGAGAGAUGGACUUACACAUGGGUGCAGAGGUGAUGAUCUAAUUGCAAAAGAAGAAGAGAGAUGGAGAUAUCUGUAAAGACUGGAAUGCCUGAAGAUGAUGUCUAACUGCAUAUGAAAAAACAAAAACAGGUCAGAAUAGGACUUUACCUUAUUGAGGAAAUGAAAGCAUCACUGUAAUCAAGUCAUCAAAGCCCAUACAAUUGUAUGUAAAAAUGUUUUAAAGUUUUAAAAUGACAGUUAUUGUGAAAUUACACAGACAUAGCCGCACAUGGUGCAGCAUGUAGCACUUUGGUUUUUCGUUUGAU